rnacentral:rRNA from 1 species
AUGAACGCUGGCGGCGUGCCUAAUACAUGCAAGUCGCGCGAACAGACGAGGAGCUUGCUCCUCUGACGUUAGCGGCGGACGGGUGAGUAACACGUGGAAAACCUACCUAUAAGACUGGGAUAACUUCGGGAAACCGGAGCUAAUACCGGAUAAUAUAUUGAACCGCAUGGUUCAAUAGUGAAAGACGGUUUUGCUGUCACUUAUAGAUGGAUCCGCGCCGCAUUAGCUAGUUGGUAAGGUAACGGCUUACCAAGGCAACGAUGCGUAGCCGACCUGAGAGGGUGAUCGGCCACACUGGAACUGAGACACGGUCCAGACUCCUACGGGAGGCAGCAGUAGGGAAUCUUCCGCAAUGGGCGAAAGCCUGACGGAGCAACGCCGCGUGAGUGAUGAAGGUCUUCGGAUCGUAAAACUCUGUUAUUAGGGAAGAACAAAUGUGUAAGUAACUAUGCACGUCUUGACGGUACCUAAUCAGAAAGCCACGGCUAACUACGUG